GCCUGGGUGGCUCAGCAGUUGAGCACCUGCCUUCGGCACAGGGCUUGAUCCUGGAGUCCUGGGAUCGAGUCCCACAUCAGGCU
rnacentral:tRNA from 1 species